rnacentral:rRNA from 1 species
CAGCAGUGGGGAAUUUUGGACAAUGGGCGAAAGCCUGAUCCAGCAAUGCCGCGUGUGUGAAGAAGGCCUUCGGGUUGUAAAGCACUUUUGUCCGGAAAGAAAUCCUUGGCUCUAAUACAGUCGGGGGAUGACGGUACCGGAAGAAUAAGCACCGGCUAACUACGUGCCAGCAGCCGCGGUAAUACGUAGGGUGCAAGCGUUAAUCGGAAUUACUGGGCGUAAAGCGUGCGCAGGCGGUUUGCUAAGACCGAUGUGAAAUCCCCGGGCUCAACCUGGGAACUGCAUUGGUGACUGGCAGGCUAGAGUAUGGCAGAGGGGGGUAGAAUUCCACGUGUAGCAGUGAAAUGCGUAGAGAUGUGGAGGAAUACCGAUGGCGAAGGCAGCCCCCUGGGCCAAUACUGACGCUCAUGCACGAAAGCGUGGGGAGCAAACAGGAUUAGAUACCCUGGUAGUCCACGCCCUAAACGAUGUCAACUAGUUGUUGGGGAUUCAUUUCCUUAGUAACGUAGCUAACGCGUGAAGUGA